rnacentral:snRNA from 1 species
GUGCUCACUUUGGCAGCACAUAUACUAAAAUUGGAACUAUACAGAGAGGAUUAGCAUGGCCCCUACCCAAGGAUGACUCGCAAAUUCACAAAGCAUUCCAUGUAUCU